GGCAUGCUUGACCAUGAUCGCUGCACCAGAAAGGAUGCCAACCUGAAACUUUAGAUCCCGCUGUCUUCUCCUCCCUCAGCAUAGUCUUGCAUACUGAGCCAGAGACUACGGGCUGGCUCUUUUGUACAACCCAAGGCCAAAUCAACGAAGACACCAAUCUCAGGUCGCAUCUUAUAAUCAAAUGGCUUCUGUUCCUCAUUUCCAGAGAGGGCCACUUCCAACAGGGAACUCAUGCAUUUGUCUAAAGCUGUAUCCUGUUCCUCUGGGGACACGUGGGAUCCCUGAAGCAUUCCACCAAGACAGCGUCCAAUAAGCAGAGCUACCGUUCUCUCUAGAUCAACAAGCCAUACCCAAGAUUGGGCUGGCUGUGAUGAAAAAUGUUACCUACCAUGAAGCGGCCACUGUAAUUCCUGAUCUUCUAAUAGGGCAGCAGCGGGUAACAGUCUAUUAAGGCGAUCAAGAGGUGGCAACAGAUCUAGCAGAUAACUCAAUAAAGGCCGGGCC